CUUUGACCUCCCCAUCCCAGGGGCAUCUUCCUUAUAAGGAAAAAACUCUAACAUAAGUUGGAAAUAGCUACAAAGCUGCUUAUAUGGAACUAACCUGCAUGUGGAACAUCUGGAAAAAUUGUGCCCCUCUCAGAGACGGACCACUAAAUGGACUGGCACUUCAAAUCCUCCAAUGGCAGUUUUUAUUGAAUUUCCCACCACCACAAAGGCCAACUAGCGAUGAUGUUCAAUGGAGUCCUGAGCCACUCAGGACAUGGAGAGCGUUAAAACCAAUCAGGAGCUGGCACGGGUUUCUUGAAUAGCUGUCAAAUGCUUGGUAUUUUCAGCUGUGCUAUGUCAGUACUUUGGGGUGCUUUCUCCGCUGACAUCCUCUUUGGCCAUUUAUAAUAAACCUCUGUUUUCACCUUCUAGCCAGCUGUAUUUAAUUUGGCCUUCUGGAAAGCUAGACACUCCGAGCUUCCAGAGUUCUUGCGGUAGCUGAAAUCACUUAACAAGCUUGGG
rnacentral:lncRNA from 11 species